rnacentral:rRNA from 1 species
GAUGAACGCUGGCGGCGUGCCUAAUACAUGCAAGUCGAGCGAACGGACGAGAAGCUUGCUUCUCUUAUGUUAGCGGCGGACGGGUGUGUAACACGUGGAUAACCUACCUAUAAGACUGGGAUAACUUCGGGAAACCGGAGCUAAUACCGGAUAAUAUUUUGAACCGCAUGGUUCAAAAGUGAAAGACGGUCUUGCUGUCACUUAUAGAUGGUUCCGCGCUGCAUUAGCUAGUUGGUAAGGUAACGGCUUAACAAGGCAACGAUGCAUAGCCGACCUGAGAGGGUGAUCGGACACACUGGAACUGAGACACGGACCAGACUCCUACGGGAGGCAGCAGUAGGGAAUCUUCCGCAAUGGGCGAAAGCCUGACGGAGCAAAGCCGCGUGAGUGAUGAAGGUCUUCGGAUCGUAAAACUCUGUUAUUAGGGAAGAACAAAUGUGUAAGUAACUGUGCACAUCUUGACGGUACCUAAUCAGAAAGCCACGGCUAACUACGUG